rnacentral:rRNA from 1 species
AUUGAACGCUGGCGGCAGGCCUAACACAUGCAAGUCGAGCGGAUGAAGAGAGCUUGCUCUCUGAUUCAGCGGCGGACGGGUGAGUAAUGCCUAGGAAUCUGCCUGGUAGUGGGGGACAACGUUUCGAAAGGAACGCUAAUACCGCAUACGUCCUACGGGAGAAAGCAGGGGACCUUCGGGCCUUGCGCUAUCAGAUGAGCCUAGGUCGGAUUAGCUAGUAGGUGAGGUAAAGGCUUACCUAGGCGACGAUCCGUAACUGGUCUGAGAGGAUGAUCAGUCACACUGGAACUGAGACACGGUCCAGACUCCUACGGGGUGCAGCAGUGGGGAAUAUUGGACAAUGGGCGAAAGCCUGAUCCAGCCAUGCCGCGUGUGUGAAGAAGGUCUUCGGAUUGUAAAGCACUUUAAGUUGGGAGGAAGGGCAGUAAGUUAAUACCUUGCUGUUUUGACGUUACCAACAGAAUAAGCACCGGCUAACUUCGUGCCAGCAGCCGCGGUAAUAC